UACGUAGGGUGCAAGCGUUUGUCCGGAAUUAUUGGGCGUAAAGAGCUCGUAGGCGGUCUGUCGCGUCGGCUGUGAAAUCCCGAGGCUCAACCUCGGGUCUGCAGUCGAUACGGGCAAACUAGAGUAUUGCAGGGGAGACUGGAAUUCCUGGUGUAGCGGUGAAAUGCGCAGAUAUCAGGAGGAACACCGGUGGCGAAGGCGGUUCUCUGGGCAUGUCCUGACGCUGAGGAGCGAAAGUGUGGGGAGCGAACAGG
rnacentral:rRNA from 1 species